GUAGAACAAUGGCACGAUGAACCUUCGGUCAUCUUUCACUCGAAGACGAGAAUUUCUGUUCAGACGCACUCUGCUCCAGUUCGUUGUAGGCCGAUUUUUGACUCCGAACUCAGAAAUGGUGUUGAUAAUUUCUCCGUUGCGUUGUAUGUUUCUCUAAAUUUUUUAUUCCGUUUCUCGGAGGAUGACGAAGAAGGAGAACAGUCUGGUUUUACUAUCGUCGGAUGAAGAAUACUGUGGUGGUCGAUCAUCCAGUUCGAAACGCAGUAAUCGAAAGACGAAAUCGCAAUCACCAUUUCCUUGGAAGAGAUAUCGGCAAGUGAAGAAGUCUCUAAUCUUAGGUCAUAGUCACGUUCAGCUUCUCGCUUGAUGUGCAUCAGGUUCUGGAGGUAUUUAUAGAAAUGAAUUAUGGAUUGAUGACCACAUUCAUUGGAGGAGCUUUCUGCAAACAAGAAAAAGGUCAUGCGUAAUUUGUAAUGGUUAAGAAUGUUCUGAGUCGAUGCUAUGUACAUACUGUUAGGCUAUUUAUUUUGUUUUUUUUUUUAAAUGUUUUGCAGUCAAGAUGGUAAAACAAAGAUCUAUCGCUUAUUGUGGACUUGGCUUAGUUGAUUUUUCAGUAGUGUCCACAGACUACCUACCUGCAUUGAAGUGGCUGGGUAGUAGGGCACCGGGCGUCACGAAAAUUUUAGCGUAUUGAGAGUGUCAUACUUCAGAUGAAAUUGAAGCUUGGUAAAUUAGAUAGGCACACAGUUAUUAAGCAAUCCCAAGACGAAAUCCUUUUGCCUAUUCAUUUAAGACGGUGUCUGAACUCUUGGGAAUCAGCUUCCGGCAGCUGUUUCUCAGAGGUGUUGUCAUUGAAACUUUCGAGUUCUGACUUCUGAGUAGGUACGGUCUCGUAUGUUACUAAGAUUUGUUGAAAAUAUUACUCCGAUUAUUUCAGCUUUGAUGCAUCUAUAUGUGCACACGCAUAUAUGAUUACUUGUUCAA